rnacentral:rRNA from 1 species
CAGUUUGAUUCUGACUGAAAAAUUAACUUCUUUACCAACCAACAUACAUGUAAAAUAUACUGAGCCCGCCACUAAUUGCCCCUAAAUGAGUUAAUAACUGUAUUAAGAUAUUCUCAAUACAGCAGAGCGCCACAGUAGAUAACACUUUUCAAUUUGAGAAAUCAAGAAAAGAGUAUGGUAUAAGGGCUGGCAAAAUUCGUGCCAGCUGCCGCGGUUAGACGAAAAGCCCAAGUUAAUAUAAUAUAAACUAAUUAAUGGUAAAUUAAAUAACAAUAAAAGUCUAAUUUUUAAAGUUUCUGACUCAUAUUUAUCAAGAAAUAAUGAAAUCAUGAACUAAAACAUGGAUUAGAUACCCAUUUAUUCAUGACAUAAAUAACAGUUGAAUAUUACGAACAACAGUUUAAAAUUCAAAGAUUUUGGCGGUGUCUUAUAAAACCAGGGGAACCUGUCUCAUAACUCGAUAAUCCACGCAUACUCAACCUUCUUUAGAUCUCAGCAUGUGUACUGCCGUUGUAAGUAUACCUUUAAAAGUUAGUAUGCUACCAUGAUUAAACACCAUAUACAUCAGGUCAAAGUGCAGCUAAUAAGAAGGAGAUGAUGGGUUACAACCCUAAAUAAGAUAAUCAACUAAGAAAUAAAAAAUCUUACGAAAGUGGACUUGGUUGUAAUUAAUUUACAAGUUAAAGAAAUGAACAAAACUCUAAGACAUGUACACAUCGCCCGUCACUCUAUCCUAAAGGUUAGAUAAGUCGUAACAAAGUAGGUGUAAUGGAAAUUGCACCUGU